GACGAACGCUGGCGGCGUGCCUAAUACAUGCAAGUUGAGCGCUGAAGGUUGGUACUUGUACCAACUGGAUGAGCAGCGAACGGGUGAGUAACGCGUGGGGAAUCUGCCUUUGAGCGGGGGACAACAUUUGGAAACGAAUGCUAAUACCGCAUAAAAACUUUAAACACAAGUUUUAAGUUUGAAAGAUGCAAUUGCAUCACUCAAAGAUGAUCCCGCGUUGUAUUAGCUAGUUGGUGAGGUAAAGGCUCACCAAGGCGAUGAUACAUAGCCGACCUGAGAGGGUGAUCGGCCACAUUGGGACUGAGACACGGCCCAAACUCCUACGGGAGGCAGCAGUAGGGAAUCUUCGGCAAUGGACGAAAGUCUGACCGAGCAACGCCGCGUGAGUGAAGAAGGUUUUCGGAUCGUAAAACUCUGUUGGUAGAGAAGAACGUUGGUGAGAGUGGAAAGCUCAUCAAGUGACGGUAACUACUCAGAAAGGGACGGCUAACUACGUG
rnacentral:rRNA from 1 species